rnacentral:snRNA from 1 species
AGAUCAAUGGAUCUGCAAUC